rnacentral:rRNA from 1 species
UUUAUUGGAGAGUUUGAUCCUGGCUCAGGAUGAACGCUGGCGGCGUGCCUAAUACAUGCAAGUCGAGCGAAUGGAUUAAGAGCUUGCUCUUAUGAAGUUAGCGGCGGACGGGUGAGUAACACGUGGGUAACCUGCCCAUAAGACUGGGAUAACUCCGGGAAACCGGGGCUAAUACCGGAUAACAUUUUGAACCGCAUGGUUCGAAAUUGAAAGGCGGCUUCGGCUGUCACUUAUGGAUGGACCCGCGUCGCAUUAGCUAGUUGGUGAGGUAACGGCUCACCAAGGCGACGAUGCGUAGCCGACCUGAGAGGGUGAUCGGCCACACUGGGACUGAGACACGGCCCAGACUCCUACGGGAGGCAGCAGUAGGGAAUCUUCCGCAAUGGACGAAAGUCUGACGGAGCAACGCCGCGUGAGUGAUGAAGGCUUUCGGGUCGUA